CCUACGGGAGGCAGCAGUGGGGAAUAUUGCACAAUGGGGGAAACCCUGAUGCAGCGACGCCGCGUGAGUGAAGAAGUAAUUCGUUAUGUAAAGCUCUAUCAGCAGGGAAGAAAAAGACGGUACCUGAGUAAGAAGCCGCGGCGAACUACGUGCCAGCAGCCGCGGGAAUACGUAGGGGGGAAGCGUUAUCCGGAUUUACUGGGUGAAACGGGAGCGGAGACGGGAGGGCAAGUCUGGAGGGAAAGGCGGGGGCUCCACCCCCGGACGGCGUGGGAAACUGUUCGGCUGGAGUGCAGGUGGGGUAGGUGGAAUUCCUUGUGUAGCGGUGAAAUGCUUAGAUAUUAGG
rnacentral:rRNA from 1 species